rnacentral:rRNA from 1 species
UACGUAGGGGGCAAGCGUUGUCCGGAUUUAUUGGGCGUAAAGAGCGUGUAGGCGGCCAGGUAGGUCUGCUGUGAAAACUCGAGGCUUAACCUCGAGCUGUCGGCGGAAACCAUCUGGCUAGAGUCCGGAAGAGGAGAAUGGAAUUCCCGGUGUAGCGGUGAAAUGGCGCAGAUAUCGGGAAGAACACCCGUGGCGAAGGCGGUUCUCUGGGACGGUACUGACGCUGAGACGCGAAAGCGUGGGGAGCGAACAGG